UACGGGGGGGGGCAAGCGUUGCUCGGAAUUACUGGGCGUAAAGGGCUCGUAGGCGGCCAACUAAGUCAGACGUGAAAUCCCUCGGCUUAACCGGGGAACUGCAUCUGAUACUGGAUGGCUUGAGAUUGGGAGAGGGAUGCGGAAUUCCAGGUGUAGCGGUGAAAUGCGUAGAUAUCGGGAGAACACCAGUGGCGAAGGCGACUACCUGGCCUGUUCUGACGCUGAGGCGCGAAAGCUAGGGGAGCAAACGGG
rnacentral:rRNA from 1 species